rnacentral:rRNA from 1 species
CAGUCGCCGCGGUAAUGCGUAGGUCCCGAGCGUUGUCCGGAUUUAUUGGGCGUAAAGCGAGCGCAGGCGGUUAGAUAAGUCUGAAGUUAAAGGCUGUGGCUUAACCAUAGUACGCUUUGGAAACUGUUUAACUUGAGUGCAAGAGGGGAGAGUGGAAUUCCAUGUGUAGCGGUGAAAUGCGUAGAUAUAUGGAGGAACACCGGUGGCGAAAGCGGCUCUCUGGCUUGUAACUGACGCUGAGGCUCGAAAGCGUGGGGAGCAAACAGGAUUAGAUACCCGUGUAGUCCCUGUCUCUUAUACC